rnacentral:rRNA from 1 species
CAGUCGCCGCGGGAAUACGUAGGUGGCAAGCGUUGUCCGGAAUUAUUGGGCGUAAAGCGUGCGCAGGCGGUUUUGUAAGACAGGCGUGAAAUCCCCGGGCUCAACCUGGGAAUGGCGCUUGUGACUGCAAAGCUAGAGUGCGGCAGAGGGGGAUGGAAUUCCGCGUGUAGCAGUGAAAUGCGUAGAUAUGCGGAGGAACACCGAUGGCGAAGGCGAUCCCCUGGGCCUGCACUGACGCUCAUGCACGAAAGCGUGGGGAGCAAACAGGAUUAGAUACCCCCGUAGUCCCUGUCUCUUAUAC